rnacentral:lncRNA from 1 species
CUGGGCCUUGUGGUGCAUUCACUGAAGUCAGUAAUUGCCCACUGGGAACUAUUUUUAAUAGUUCUCACGCCCCUGUUUUAUGGUUUACUUUUCAGAGCCUUCGGCACCGGCGGAGGCACGGGAUCGCGGCAAGGGGAUCGCUUAGCGAGCUAGCAAGGAGCGGUACUUUGCCUAGGUGGUUACUCUUUCUUUUGUAGUUGAGAGAGGGUGAGAGAUUUUGUAUCCAUGUAUAGAGACCACCUAUGUACCUACUUUUAGCACUUGUAUUUGGGAAUCCUAUUGUAUUUACUUUAUGUUCUACUUAGUGGAUUUAUAGUUUCAUCCGUAUUUCUUGUUGUAGCAUUUAGACAUUCUUUAUGCUCUGAUACUCCUAAAUGUCUUUUAUUAUUGCUUUUAUUAUUGUUGUUGUUAGACGCCUUAUGCGUUUUAGACGCAUGGCGGGUCUGGGCACGUGCCGGGCGGGUUUCCGCUGGGUCCCGGGGCGUGACACCGGCGGGUAAGGAGAAAAAAAAGAUUAGACAUUUACUCCAAUCCAUUAAUAUGAGGAUACCCAUCCUCCCUCAAGAGAAUGAGAUUAGUACUUUGGGAUGAAUCACAUUCCCAAGUAAAUUCAAUAUUACCAACUAGAUUACUUAGUGCGUUUAGCCAAAUAUCGUCAUAUUUUUUUAUUCCUAUUAGAUUAUUAGAAAUCUUAAAAUGAUAGCGCGAACCAAACGCACCCCUAAUGUCUGAUGAUAUAUUGCAUAUCACACUAUUUUGAUAUAAGAAUAAAAUAUUU